AUGAGGAGGUUUUUCAGGGUGGACAGAGAUGAAGAUUUCGGCCAGAUUCAGUAUCUCACCGCUAAAUGCAUCCGACUGUCUCAGGAGAAAGCAGUGCUGCAGCAGGAGCUGCUGGUGUCCGCUGAGCGUCAGCAGGCCCUGCAGGCUCAGAUGGAGGUUCUGGCGGUGUGUGUGCGUCAGAAAGAGCAGCUGAAUGUUGAGCUGAACAUCAAAUAUGAGCAACUUCAGGAGCGCUUCCAGCAGCAACUGAGGCAGGCAGAUGUCCUCCAGCAGUGUGUGUUGUCGGUGACGGAGGACAGGUGUAGGGAUGCGUCUCUUCUGGGUCUGCAGCUGGAGCAGGUGAGCUGUGACCUACAGCAGAUGCAGAGUUCAGAGGCGAAGCUGAUGGGCCUGGUGGACGAGCUGCACCAGGAGGCCCAGCUCAGAGCACAGCAGGCAGAGGUCCUGCAGGCGCAGCUCCACCAGGAGGCUCAGUCAAAGACGCAGACUAUAGAGGAGCUGGAGACGCAGCUGAACAGUAAAGCACGAGAGCUGGCGGAGCUGCAGAUUUCCCAUGAUGCCGUGCUGCAGGAUGUGUGUAUUCAGCGUGGCGCCCACCAGAGGACACUGGAGGAACUGCGGCGCACGGCGGAUCAGUGUGAGUGGGUGUGUGAGCAGCAGCGGCGCUGGAUGAGCUGCGUCAGGAGGUUUAAGGACUGUCUGUCAGGUGAGAAGGAGUCCCUGGAGCUGCAGGUGAACAGGUUACAGGUGGAGCUGGAGACGGUCAGGAGGAGCGAACACACUGAACACUGCAGCAGGUGGGAUGAGGAGCUGCAGACUGAAGCAGAGCGAUGGAGAACACUGUAUGAGGAUCUGCUGAAGCUCACCACACAGCAGGUACAUGGAGACACACACACAUACACGGACAUGCAUACACACACACACACACACACACUGACAAACAUGGACACGCAUGAAAACAUACAUUCAUACACACAAAGACAUGCAUGCAUACAAACACAUUUAUGUGCUCAAAAACACACACAUACACACAAAUACAAACACAAACAGGGACACACACACAUACACACAUUUCAUGGUUUUUAUGUAAAGCUCUUUUGUUUUAAUGUUUUUGUGUCUUUGCCAGGGCCAACAGGCAUCAGUUGGACACCUCAAACCCCCAUGAGGAUCGACACACACACACACAAACACACACACACACACACGCUCAGUUUUAAUGGGUAAAGUUUAGAAGGGAUACAGCUGCAGAUACUCGCAUCAUUCAUUCAUUUUCCUUCAGCUUAGUCCUUCAUUUAUCAGGGGUCGCCACAGCGAAAUGAGCCACCAACUACUCUGGCAUAUGUUUUACACAGUGGAUGCCCUUCCAGCUGCAACCCAGCACUGGGAGACACCCAUACACACUUAUAUACUAUGGCCAAUUUAGUUCAUCAAUUCCCCUAUCGCACCUGGAGGAAACCCAUGCCAACAUGGGGAGAACAUGCAAACUCCAAACAGGAACACCAACUGACCCAGCCGGGACUCAAACCAGCAACCUUCCAAGGCCACAAUGCUAACCACUGAGCCUACUUGCAUAAAUAUAGCAUCAUUUUUGUGACAUUGUACAACAAUUAUAUGUAUAUAUUUACAGUACUGUAAGGGUUGGGCUUAAGUUUGGGGUAGACCUUAAUAAAAUACUGUUUACUGGGUAAUUUAAUAAAUGAUACGAGUAUAUUACUGCUUUUACACUGUGAAGAUUGGGGUAGAUGUUAAUAAAAUGUAUUUAAUUCAAAUUUUAAGGGUAUUGUAAUACAUAAUCUAAACUAUAUGAUAACAAUAAUAUUAAUUCCUGCUUUUCUGGGCACUCAAAGCGCUUUACACACAUUGAGGGGAAUCUCCUCAUCCUCCACCAGUGUGCAGCAUCCACUUGGAUUAGGCGACGGCAGCCAUACUGCACCAGACUGCACACCAGCUGAUUGGUGGAGAGGAGACAGAGUGAUGAAGACAGUGAUGAUAUGGGGAUGGUCAGGAGGCCAUGAUGGACAGAGGACAGUGGGCAGAUUUGGCCAGGAUGCCAGGGUUAAACCCCUACUCUUUUUCCAAGGAUAUCCUGGGAUUUUUAACGAGCACAGAGAGUCGGGACCUCGGUUUAACAUCUCAUCCGAAAGACAGAAUGGUUCACUUGUAUCGCUUGUUGCAAAAAUGUUUUCAAUUAUUUUCUUAAAUUCAUGAAUGAAAAUAUACAAUUACAAUCAGGAGAUCAAUAUAAGAGAGAUACAAGAGAGGGAAAAUACAAGUGACAUUAACAGCAGGUAAUGUCACCUGUAAAUAAACAGGGGAAAAUAAACAGGGGGGCUAAUAAUUCUGACUUCAACUGUAAUAACAAAAAUCGGACACAUUUUUUGUUGUUGCACAUACAGAAGGAUUUAAGCAGUCAACUUCAAUCAGAAAAUGUGGAAAACAAAAAUUCCUAACAAAAUAAAAACGAUAAAGUCUUCAGAUUCAUGUGCAAAAUCUAUGUAAUAAUAAAUAAUUUAUUUUAAACUUAAAGAUAGGAGGAGUGUUUAAAUAAUAAUGCAAGUCAAACCAAAACUUCACACAUUCACACAUACAAAAUAAAAGUUUUACAGUUUCAUCAUCCUUACCACAAACUGGAGAACGACUCGGAAUAUCAACAUAUUUGUAAAUAAAUGAGAUUUUUAUUGCAGUAUUUUAAAAUGCCUUUAUUUUUAUUAGGAAGAAAGUAUUUAUAAGGCAACAACCAAGCUUUUCUCCAGUCUACAUUAUUAACUAAUGCAACCCAACAGAAUCUGCCUCACAGAACAAUACGAUGACUUUGCUGAGGAAUUAAAUGGAUCUGUUCAUUCAUUCAUUUCCUUUUCGAUUUAUUCCCUUAAUUAAUCAGGGGUCGCCACAGUGGAAUGAACCGCCAACUUAUCCAGCAUAUGUUUUACUCAGCGGAUGCCCUUCCAGCUGCAACCCAUUACUGGGAAACAUGCAUACAUUCUCAUUUACACACACACACACUCGUACACUACGGCCAGUUUAGUUGAUCAAUUCCCCUAAAGCGCAUGUGAUUGGACUGUGACCCAGCCGGGACUUGAAUCAGUGACCUUCUUGCUGAGAGGUGAUUGUGCUACCCACUGUGCCACCGUGAUGCAUAAAUGAUUAUGUUUAUUAUUUUAAUGUAUUGUAUAUGACUAUUGCCCAGAUGCAUUACACCAGUGGGGAUAUCUCUACGAACAGUAUUAGAAUCUCUGAAGUGAGUAGGAAAGUCACGAACAGUCAUAAAGCGUUCAUACCACAGUAAGUUCCCCAAAUCAUCAAGUACAGAAAAUAAUCACUUGUAACAGCAACUGCUGGCUGCUGGGAUUGACGUCAUUUUUGGAAGGCGCGUGCUGCUGGCUCUGACGUCACUCUCGGAACACGCGCGGGUUCUUUUAAACCGUCAUUUCUCUGUCGGAUUAUCAAACUUGCAUUCCAGUUUACUGCUGUUUGCACUGUUUCCCAGCGCGCGAUGGCGAAGACGAUUGCGAGAACUGCGAGGUCCAUCGCGGCCCAGAUAAACGAGUGCUGCUCCUACAUCCACAGCAAAUACCAGCAGCUGCAGGCCUUCCGCCGACAAGUCAAACGGAGGACCAGACCCAAGCACUGGGACUGGAUAGAAGACUUCGAGCUCGAGCACGAGCUGCGCUUCCCCACCCGCGGGCCCCGGAGCCUGCUGAAGCUGCGGAACCUGCAGCGCUUCCUGCGGGAAACCGAGCAGAACUGGUGGGACUUUCGGCCUCCGCGGGUGCCCGGGAGACCGCACCGCGUGUUGCGGAUAAACCUGCGGGACCGGCCGAUCAAAGCCCUGCUGAGCACCGAGCUUUUCCCUCCGAAGCCCGUAGACCGCACCGAGAGACACUACUGCCGGAAACUGCUGCUGAUGGAGCGGCCGCUGGAGAUCAGCUUACCGGCAGACGUACUGGAGGAGAUCCGUGCGCUGGAGCAUCUGGAGGAGGAGCAGGGGCUACCGCCACACCUGCACUGCUCAUCCGGUCAGGAGGACUAUUACUCCGCGGAUGAAGAGUGAACUUUAAUAAAGCAUGAAAACAUGUUCACAUGAGUUCAUGUGUCAGUCAUUUUCUUUUUAGCUUAGUCCCUUUAUUAAUCAAGGGUCACCACAGAGGAAUGAACCGCCAACUUAUCCAGCAUAUACUUUACGCAACGGAUGCCCUUCUAGCUGCAACCCAGUACUGGAAAACACCCACACACUCAUUUACACUCAUACACAGACAAUUUAGCUUACCCAAUUCCCUUUUAAUAUGUGUUUGUACUGCGGAGAAAACCCACACCAACACGGAGAACAUGCAAACUCCAUGUGGACUCAAACCAGCAACCUUCUUGCUGUGAGGUGAUUGGGCUACCCACUGCGCCACCAUGCUGCCCCUUCUAUAUGGUUAAAAUGUUCUUCAUUUAUUUACUUAUUGUCCUCCAUCCUUUAUUAGGAGUCACCACAGCGGAAUGAACUGCCAAAAUUCUGAAUAUUUUUCACUUUAGUUAAUAGUAAUAAUUAUAAUAAUAAUAGUAAUGUGUCCUCUGGUUCCUGAAGUGUACACAGUGUUAUCUGGG
ensembl:lincRNA